rnacentral:rRNA from 1 species
UCCCUCAGUAUGGCGAAUGAACAGGGAUGAGCUCAGUAUGGAAAUUGGGGCCUGUGGCCUUGAAUUGUAGUCUGGAGAUGUACCACCAACUGGGGCGCAGAUGUAAGCCUCUUGGAAAAGAGCAUCAAUGAGGGUGAGAGUCCCGCAUGGCAUCUGCAGUCCCCAGUGCACGGUGUACCUUCUAAGAGUCACGUUCCUCGGGAUUGGAGCGCAAAUCGGGUGGUAAAUUUCAUCUAAAGCUAAAUAUAGUUUCGAGACCGAUAGCAAACAAGUACCAUGAGGGAAAGGUGAAAAGGACUUUGAAAAGAGAGUUAAAAGUGCCUGAAAUUGCUGAAAGGGAAGCGAAUGGAACCAGCGAAACUUGGCAAGAUUGCUGUGUGUCAAUGUGAUUGCUUGCUGCUGCAACGUAAGUGUGGUAGUAAGUCUUGAGCAGGACAUGCUCGGUGUUUCUUGCCUUGUGUGUCACCUGUGGUUCGUGAUUGAGGAAAACUUCAGGGACAUGGUAGCCUGUCUCCGGGUGGGUGAACGUGUCUGCUGGAACUCAUUCGUGGACUGCUUGGUGACUAAAUGGUUUCAUCCGACCCGUCUUGAAAC